GAUGAACGCUGGCGGCGUGCCUAAUACAUGCAAGUCGAGCGAACAGACGAGGAGCUUGCUCCUCUGACGUUAGCGGCGGACGGGUGAGUAACACGUGGAUAACCUACCUAUAAGACUGGGAUAACUUCGGGAAACCGGAGCUAAUACCGGAUAAUAUAUUGAACCGCAUGGUUCAAUAGUGAAAGACGGUUUUGCUGUCACUUAUAGAUGGAUCCGCGCCGCAUUAGCUAGUUGGUAAGGUAACGGCUUACCAAGGCAACGAUGCGUAGCCGACCUGAGAGGGUGGUCGGCCACACGGGAAGUGAGACACGGUCCAGACUCCUACGGGAGGCAGCAGUAGGGAAUCUUCCGCAAUGGGCGAAAGCGGGACGGAGCAACGCCGCGUGAGUGAUGAAGGUCUUCGGAUCGUAAAACUCUGUUAUUAGGGAAGAACAAAUGUGUAAGUAACUAUGCACGUCUUGACGGUACCUAAUCAGAAAGCCACGGCUAACUACGUG
rnacentral:rRNA from 1 species